AGACCCGAAACCCGGUGAUCUAGCCAUGGGCAGGUUGAAGGUUGGGUAACACUAACUGGAGGACCGAACCGACUAAUGUUGAAAAAUUAGCGGAUGACCUGUGGCUGGGGGUGAAAGGCCAAUCAAACCGGGAGAUAGCUGGUUCUCCCCGAAAGCUAUUUAGGUAGCGCCUCGUGAAUUCAUCUCCGGGGGUAGAGCACUGUUUCGGCUAGGGGGCCAUCCCGGCUUACCAACCCGAUGCAAACUGCGAAUACCGGAGAAUGUUAUCACGGGAGACACACGGCGGGUGCUAACGUCCGUCGUGAAGAGGGAAACAACCCAGACCGCCAGCUAAGGUCCCAAAGUCAUGGUUAAGUGGGAAACGAUGUGGGAAGGCCCAGACAGCCAGGAUGUUGGCUUAGAAGCAGCCAUCAUUUAAAGAAAGCGUAAUAGCUCACUGGUCGAGUCGGCCUGCGCGGAAGAUGUAACGGGGCUAAACCAUGCACCGAAGCUGCGGCAGCGACGCUUAUGCGUUGUUGGGUAGGGGAGCGUUCUGUAAGCCUGCGAAGGUGGCCUGUGAGGGUUGCUGGAGGUAUCAGAAGUGCGAAUGCUGACAUAAGUAACGAUAAAGCGGGUGAAAAGCCCGCUCGCCGGAAGACCAAGGGUUCCUGUCCAACGUUAAUCGGGGCAGGGUGAGUCGACCCCUAAGGCGAGGCCGAAAGGCGUAGUCGAUGGGAAACGGGUUAAUAUUCCCGUAC
rnacentral:rRNA from 1 species